rnacentral:lncRNA from 1 species
GAGACUUUAACUUCUCCCUUUGAGACAGACAUGAGCAAACUCAGGCCUAUUGCACAGAAAGUCAAUAUCCAAGAGACAGCAGAGCUCCCUAGGGUUGCUACUUACCCGGACUAACAUCUCCAGACUGCCUUUCAACCUUUGUAAAGGAAGAGAUGUUUACACGAGAACAAGGUUAGGAACUGCCUGCAGAAGCAGGCUCCCUAAGAAUUCAGUGCUGCUUAUGUGUGCAUGGGAAACCUACCAGUGGCCACAUCCUUAGAAGUGAAUGGAUUCUUCCUCCCCUGGCAACGACCCACUGCCAAUAGCUCCUCAGGAAAGAAGUGGGGCCUGGAGACUAUCUACGCUGUCUGUGCCAGCAGGUUGGCUAGUUUGAUGCUAUGCAGGUGGGGCACCACAGAUGCUGUGAGAUGACUGUGACGUUCACGUCACAUC